AUUGAACGCUGACGGCAUGCUUUACACAUGCAAGUCGAACGGUAACAGGGAGCUUGCUCCGCUGACGAGUGGCGAACGGGUGAGUAAUAUAUCGGAACGUACCCAGAAGUGGGGGAUAACGUAGCGAAAGUUACGCUAAUACCGCAUACGAUCCACGGAUGAAAGUAGGGGACCUUCGGGCCUUAUGCUUUUGGAGCGGCCGAUAUCUGAUUAGCUAGUUGGUGAGGUAAAGGCUCACCAAGGCGACGAUCAGUAGCUGGUCUGAGAGGACGACCAGCCACACUGGAACUGAGACACGGUCCAGACUCCUACGGGAGGCAGCAGUGGGGAAUUUUGGACAAUGGGCGCAAGCCUGAUCCAGCAAUGCCGCGUGAGUGAAGAAGGCCUUCGGGUUGUAAAGCUCUUUUGUCAGGGAAGAAACGGCUGUGGCUAAUAUCCACGGCUAAUGACGGUACCUGAAGAAUAAGCACCGGCUAACUACGUGCCAGCAGCCGCCGCGGUAA
rnacentral:rRNA from 1 species